rnacentral:rRNA from 1 species
UACAGAGGGUGCGAGCGUUGUUCGGAAUUAUUGGGCGUAAAGCGCUUGUAGGCGGCACGUCAAGUCGCGUGUGAAAUCCCCAGGCUUAACCUGGGAAGUGCGCGCGAAACUGACGAGCUUGAGUGCCGGAGAGGGUAGCGGAAUUCCCGGUGUAGAGGUGAAAUUCGUAGAUAUCGGGAGGAACACCAGUGGCGAAGGCGGCGACCUGGACGGACACUGACGCUGAGACGCGAAAGCGUGGGGAGCAAACAGG